UCGAGAAUCUUUCGCAAUGGGCGCAAGCCUGACGAAGCGACGCCGUGUGAGCGAAGAAGGCCUUCGGGUUGUAAAGCUCUUUCGCUAGGGAACAAGAAAGGUGAGAUAACACCUCGCCGAUUUGAUGGUACUUGGUAAAGAAGCACCGGAUAACUCCGUGCCAGCAGCUGCGGUAAUACGGAGGGUGCAAGCAUUGAUCGGAAUUACUGGGCGUAAAGGGCGCGUAGGCGGCCGAAUAAGUCAGAUGUG
rnacentral:rRNA from 1 species